rnacentral:rRNA from 1 species
UAAGGAAUAUUGGACAAUGGAGGCAACUCUGAUCCAGCCAUGCCGCGUGAAGGAAUAAGGCCCUAUGGGUUGUAAACUUCUUUUAGACGGGACAAAACCCCUUUACGUGUAAAGGGUUGAUGGUACUGUCAGAAUAAGCUGCGGCUAACUACGUGCCAGCAGCCGCGGUAAUACGUAGGCAGCAAGCGUUGUUCGGAGUUACUGGGCGUAAAGAGUGCGUAGGCGGUUUUCUAAGUUCGGUGUGAAAUCUCCCGGCUUAACUGGGAGGGUGCGCCGAAGACUGGGAAGCUGGAGUGUGGGAAAGGCAGGCGGAAUUCCUGGUGUAGCGGUGAAAUGCGUAGAUAUCAGGAGGAACACCGGCGGUGUAGACGGCUUGCUAGACCAUAACUGACGCUGAGGCACGAAAGCGUGGGUAGCAAACA